rnacentral:tRNA from 1 species
GCCCGGAUGGCGGAAUGGUAGACGCACCAGACUUAAAAUCUGUUGCCGGAAACGGCGUGGGGGUUCGAGUCCCCCUCCGGGCA